rnacentral:rRNA from 1 species
GACGAACGCUGGCGGCGUGCUUAACACAUGCAAGUCGAACGGAAAGGCCCUACUUUUGUUGGGUGCUCGAGUGGCGAACGUGUGAGUAACACGUGAGUAACCUGCCCUUGACUUUGGGAUAACUUCAGGAAACUGGGGCUAAUACCGGAUAGGAGCUCCUGCUGCAUGGUGGGGGUUGGAAAGUUUCGGCGGUUGGGGCUGGACUCGGGGCUUAUCAGCUUGUUGGUGGGGUAGUGGCUUACCAAGGCUUUGACGGGUAGCCGGCCUGAGAGGGUGACCGGCGACAUGGGGACUGAGAUAGGGCCCAGACUCCUACGGGAGGCAGCAGUGGGGAAUAUUGCACAAUGGGCGGAAGCCUGAUGCAGAGACGCCGCGUGCGGGAUGAAGGCCUUCGGGUUGUAAACCGCUUUGGCCUGUGACGAAGCGUGAGUGACGGUAAUGGGAGAAGAAGCACCGGCUAACUACGUG